rnacentral:misc_RNA from 1 species
CCAAAAAGAGGCGCGCUCCUU